UACGUAGGGGGCUAGCGUUGUCCGGAAUCAUUGGGCGUAAAGAGCGUGUAGGCGGCCCGAUAAGUCCGCUGUGAAAGUCCAGGGCUCAACCCUGGGAUGCCGGUGGAUACUGUCGGGCUCGAGUCCGGAAGGAGGAGUGUGGAAUUCCGUGGUGUAGCGGUGAAAUGCGUAGAUAUCAAGAGGAACACCUGCGGCGAAGGCGGGUUGCUGGCCGACACUGACGCUGAGGCGCGAAAGCCAGGGAGCGAACGGG
rnacentral:rRNA from 1 species